AUGCGUGCCACCCGCUGUUUUUUCCGCGUGGAAGCUGGAAGUCAACUACUCCCUCCUCACGUCUCCCAUUUCCCAAACUUCUCACCCAUUUCCCCUCAGCUCUGCCCGUCCUGCCCUGCCGGUCCUCCCUUGUCCUCUCCACACAGUUGA
rnacentral:rRNA from 1 species